rnacentral:rRNA from 1 species
GUUACCUACGGGACGCAGCAGUGAGGAAUAUUGGUCAAUGGCCGGGAGGCUGAACCAGCCAAGUCGCGUGAGGGAAGACGGCCCUACGGGUUGUAAACCUCUUUUGUCAGGGAGCAAGGUGCAGGUCGGGACCUGCUGUGAGAGUACCUGAAGAAAAAGCAUCGGCUAACUCCGUGCCAGCAGCCGCGGUAAUACGGAGGAUGCGAGCGUUAUCCGGAUUUAUUGGGUUUAAAGGGUGCGCAGGCGGAGGCACAAGUCAGCGGUAAAAUCGCGGCGCUCAACCCCGCUCGGCCGUUUGAACUGUG